AUUUGUACUGUGAAACUGCGAAUGGCUCAUUAAAUCAGUUAUCGUUUAUUUGAUAGUACCUUACUACAUGGAUACCUGUGGUAAUUCUAGAGCUAAUACAUGCUAAAAACCUCGACUUCGGAAGGGGUGUAUUUAUUAGAUAAAAAACCAAUGCCCUUCGGGGCUCCUUGGUGAAUCAUAAUAACUUAGCGAAUCGCAUGGCCUUGCGCCGGCGAUGGUUCAUUCAAAUUUCUGCCCUAUCAACUUUCGAUGGUAGGAUAGUGGCCUACCAUGGUGGCAACGGGUAACGGGGAAUUAGGGUUCGAUUCCGGAGAGGGAGCCUGAGAAACGGCUACCACAUCCAAGGAAGGCAGCAGGCGCGCAAAUUACCCAAUCCCGAUACGGGGAGGUAGUGACAAUAAAUACUGAUACGGGGCUCUUUUGGGUCUCGUAAUUGGAAUGAGUACAAUCUAAAUCCCUUAACGAGGAACAAUUGGAGGGCAAGUCUGGUGCCAGCAGCCGCGGUAAUUCCAGCUCCAAUAGCGUAUAUUAAAGUUGUUGCAGUUAAAAAGCUCGUAGUUGAACCUUGGGUCUGGCUGGCCGGUCCGCCUCACCGCGAGUACUGGUCCGGCUGGACCUUUCCUUCUGGGGAACCUCAUGGCCUUCACUGGCUGUGGGGGGAACCAGGACUUUUACUGUGAAAAAAUUAGAGUGUUCAAAGCAGGCCUAUGCUCGAAUACAUUAGCAUGGAAUAAUAGAAUAGGACGUGCGGUUCUAUUUUGUUGGUUUCUAGGACCGCCGUAAUGAUUAAUAGGGAUAGUCGGGGGCGUCAGUAUUCAGCUGUCAGAGGUGAAAUUCUUGGAUUUGCUGAAGACUAACUACUGCGAAAGCAUUCGCCAAGGAUGUUUUCAUUAAUCAGGGAACGAAAGUUAGGGGAUCGAAGACGAUCAGAUACCGUCGUAGUCUUAACCAUAAACUAUGCCGACUAGGGAUCGGGCGGCGUUUCUAUAAUGACCCGCUCGGCACCUUACGAGAAAUCAAAG
rnacentral:rRNA from 1 species